rnacentral:sRNA from 1 species
UGUAUCUGAAGUCUGACGAGGAUGAGAACCUCCGGGGGCAAGAGGUUCGACCCGAGCGAAGCGAGAGAACGUUGCGUCAGCAACGGCCCGCAGGGCGAGCCACGCAGUGGCGAGUCAUCCUCUAUCAC